AAACGGGCACAUCAUGUAGAGCAGCCCAGUAGCAGAUUAGUCACGGUACGAAUUGGUUUUGCAACACUUGCCGGAAUGCCAUUCAAAGUGUUGGGUGGAAAAUUUUACCACACGCCGCGCCAGACGGCCAAAAAAGAGAAAAUCGAAAAAGAAACCACAGAAAGAAACAAUAUUUGUGCAGCUCUGGGGAAUUUGGCUGCCAAAAUGCAUGCACGAGUGCCUCGCAAGCUUGGCCGAGACGGCGGAAACACAGUAAAAAGGAAAGGAACUCAGAAGCUGCCACUUUUGUGUGCCAUAUGCAAAAUGGGCAGCAAACUGCUUGAAGAGUGCAGACAUCCGCAUGGCAACUAGUUGGCAGUUGAUGGUAGUUGGUUUUUUAAUAUUUUCUUUUUGCUUUUCUUUCUUUCCGACUGCUGCGUGUUGCCUGUUGCUAUAAGCCAUCAGUGUCAUCCGUUAGCAUCAAAUCCUGAGCUCUGGACUUGGGAAACAAAAUUCUGCGAAGCUUUUUAACAUAAUCGCAACUCAAGCUCAGCACUCACGAAAUCAAGCAGCUGAUUUAAUUAGCCAAGCUACGUCAAUAGGUAACAAUCAAAUGGGAUUCACUUAGCUGAUAGACUAACAGAUUGCCUGCAAACUAAAACGUAUGUCAAUUAAAAUCAACUAAACUGAACUCUGUCAAUUCAAAUAUCUUAUCUAUCUUCAACUAUCUUAAUGUCAGUUCUGAAAUAAAUAUUAUUGUUACUCCCCUA